CUCGCGGAUUGCCUCCUGGCGGAUUGUUUCCUUGUCGAUUGCUUCCUGACGGAUUGCUUUCUCGUCGAGGGCCUUCCUUCUGCCAUAAUGUAAAACAUAUGUUAUACCGAAGCCGAUAUUCGUUCUCCAAGAACAAAGUACAGAUUCUGCAAUAUUUUGAAUGGUGAACAAUCGCUUACUGAUGAGUAUUUGAAUUUAUAACAAAAAAAAUCGUUGACAAUUUAAUCGUCCUUAAUUAAAGAGGACGAAGUACACUGGGGUGAAUGGGAGACGUCUGGAGAGUAAAACUCACUUAUUAGCGAGAAUGGAGUUGGUUCACCAAUACAUGGAACAUCAAGUACUCUGAGGUAGUAAAUAACACCAACUUGUAUGCUUAUGGUGAUGUUUAUACACUGAUGGACAAAUGAAGCGCACUAUUCAAUAAAUUUAGU